rnacentral:ncRNA from 1 species
UGAACGGCUUUGAAGGAAAGAAGUAGCCCUUUAUUUGUACCAGAGAGAGGGAGCGGCUGGUGAAAGCUCCUGUACGGUAUCGGGUGAAGCAGUUCCUGAGCUUCCCGCCGGUAAAAAGGCAGGACGUACAACGGCGUUAACGUAUGAACCAAGAGCCCCUGUUCCAGGGGAAUUAGGGUGGUACCGCGUGAGAAUAUCUCUCGUCCCUUAU